rnacentral:rRNA from 1 species
GACGAACGCUGGCGGCGUGCUUAACACAUGCAAGUCGAACGGAAAGGCGCUGCUUUCGUCGGGUGCUCGAGUGGCGAAAGUGUGUGUAACACGUGAGUAACCUGCCCUGGGCUUUGUGAUAUCUUCAGGAGAGUGGUGAUAUUACCGGAUAGGAGAUCCUGCUGAAUGGUGGGGGUUGGAAAGUUUCGGCGGUUGGGGAUGGACUCGUGGUUUAGUAGCUUGUUGGUGGGGUAGUGGCUAACCAAGGCUUUGCCUGGUGGCGGGCCUGGGAGGGUGACCGGCGACAAUGGGACUGAGAGACGGCCCAGACUGCAACGGGGGGCAGCAGGGGAGAAUAUUGCACAAUGAUCCGAAGCCUGAUGCGGCGACGCCGCGAGCGGGAAGACGACUAUCGGGUUGUAAACCGCUGUCGCCUAUGACGUAGCGUUAGUGACGGUAAUGGGUAAAGAAGCACCGGCUAACUACGUG